rnacentral:tRNA from 1 species
GCCCGGGUGGCUUAGCUGGUCAUAGCGCCGCACUCAUAGGGUUCCGAGCUUCGGUGCGGCAUCCCACUCGCCACGUGGAUGCUCAGCAUGUCCGCGAGGCCCGCCGAGCCUCGAACCUGGGACAUGCGGAGAUCGAGGGUUCAAAACCCUCCCCGGGCA